rnacentral:rRNA from 1 species
UCGGGUGCGAGUAGAGUGGCGGACGGGUGAGUAACGCGUGGGAAUCUGCCUAGUAGUGGGGGAUAACAAUCGGAAACGGUUGCUAAUACCGCAUACGCCCUACGGGGGAAAGGCUUCGGCCGCUAUUAGAUGAGCCCGCGUAAGAUUAGCUUGUUGGUAGGGUAAUGGCCUACCAAGGCAACGAUCUUUAGCUGGUCUGAGAGGACGAUCAGCCACACUGGGACUGAGACACGGCCCAGACUCC